rnacentral:lncRNA from 1 species
GGUCUCAUGAAUCCGAACGAUGGUAAUGAAGAGGAAGGUACAAUGAGGCCCCGGUCCAGUUUGUAGCUCAAUUCGGCAGCUAACGAAGGAGAUCACGCCAAGGGAGGUUCAGCUUUUGACUUGGAGUUUCGUGGCUUUCCAGUUUUUACUAAAAUAAUUUGAUCGUAGAUUUGAUAAGAGAAGAAAAAGAAGAGUCCGACGACGCCAUUCAAAGAC